rnacentral:rRNA from 1 species
UACAGAGGGUGGCGAGCGUUAAUUCGGAAUUAGCUGGGGCGUAAAGCGUGCGUAGACGGUCAUGUAAGUCGGGUGGUGAAAGCCCCCGGGGCUCAACCUGGGGAAUUGCAUUCGAGACUGCAUGGCUAGGAUGCGGAAGAGGGGAAGCGGAAUUUACCGGUGUAGCGGUGAAAUGCGUAGAUAUCGGGAAGGAACACCAGUGGGCGAAAAGGCGGCUUCCUGGUCCAGCAU